rnacentral:lncRNA from 1 species
UCUCGCCUGUCGCGGUUCACGACCCAGUCCGUCCCACGUCCCCUCCAAGCCCGGCGUCCGGCGUCUCCAGGAGCCCUCCGGUUCUCCGGGACUCUGCCCCCCCUGCCCCUGGAUCUCCAGGCUUACAUCUUAUUUGGACUUCUUUGGGAGGGGGUUCCCGGUCCCCAAAGAGGAAGGAUGCCCCUGCCUGCUGCCCCAGUAGCCCCAGCAAUGAGGCCCUCAUUCGCACGCCAGAUCGCAGAGGGGCCAAGGGAUGCGGAGCGUUUACGCUGAGAGUUCACCGCAGACGUGGAGAUGGGUAGGGCGAGCUGGGAGGCUUGUGGUCCCAGCAUACCAGAAAGCAGGAUGACUUUCUCGAUGAUGAAACGACGCCAUAUAGAAUCAGAUCACGGAGUAAACGAGGCUGGGAUUUAGCAGCUGGCUCGUUGGUCUAGGGGUAUGAUUCUCGCUUUGGGUGCGAGAGGUCCCGGGUUCAAAUCCCGGACGAGCCCGUCUUCUUCCUUUACCGUGGAACAAAGUUUUGUUUCAUGGACAGUUUUGGUCCUGGGCAGGCAGUGGACACCACCAAGAGUCCCAGGAGGGCAGGGGAUCGCGAAGAAAAGCAGGUGGGAAAGUGAGUGAGCCGCCAGGAACCAAGGGUCACGGGUGAGAUGUCGGGCGCAGAGCCUCCGCGGGCUCUGCUCCGAUAGGGCCGUCCUCGUCCGCUGUGACACUGCGCGUCCGUGCGGGCGGCGGCUUCCUCGACGGCCAGCAGCGCGCGUCGCGCGCGCGAUCGGUGGGCAGCGGGGCGCGCGUUCGCCUCGCGAGCGGAAGGGUCCCUGGCGGAGACCGGCGCGGCUUCCUUUGUUUCUUACAGUUUGAAAUUUAUUACGUUGGGGUAAAUCUGGAACUCCAUGAGACAAACUCGGUCCCAGUCCAGGUUACAGAGACGCGCUGACUCCAGGGAGGAGAGAACGGCGUCUACACCGCUGGUUUCUCCGCCUCAGCCACGGGCACCGGUGAAGACCUGAGACCACCCCCCUGCCCUCAAGGACACAGGCGAAAGGAGGCCACACACCUCGGGGCCGCCGCCAAACUGCGUCCCAUUCCCCCUGGUUUACGGGGUGAAAAAAACGCAGAGCGCGCCAACAGGAGAGAAAGUAGCCUGAUUUUUGUUCCUGAGGCCCUGACUCUGAACGGGAGAUUCCAAGAGGGGAAGGUAACCAGGCUGGACUAGAACACGCUGGGAUCACAGCUGUCUCCUGGGAGAUUCAGGCAGUCCACAGUACAUAGUUGUGUAUUCUAGCUGUGGGUCCUUCUGCUCUGCUGUGUGGGACACCGCCUCAGCAUGGCUUGACGAGCGGGGGCUAGGUCUGCCCACGAUCCAAACCGGCGAAGCCCAGGGCCACUGAAGUGGAGUGGGUAAACUUAACCCCUCACUAUGGGGCCAGCCC